rnacentral:tRNA from 1 species
CUCGUUUAUGAGGCUACAACUCACCG